UACGUAGGGUGCAAGCGUUGUCCGGAAUUAUUGGGCGUAAAGAGCUUGUAGGCGGUCUGUCGCGUCGGCUGUGAAAACCCGGAGCUCAACUCCGGGCCUGCAGUCGAUACGGGCAGACUGGAGUUCGGCAGGGGAGACUGGAAUUCCUGGUGUAGCGGUGAAAUGCGCAGAUAUCAGGAGGAACACCGGUGGCGAAGGCGGGUCUCUGGGCCGAUACUGACGCUGAGGAGCGAAAGCGUGGGGAGCGAACAGG
rnacentral:rRNA from 1 species